AUCUAACCAGAAAGGGACGGCUAACUACGUGCCAGCAGCCGCGGUAAUACGUAGGUCCCAAGCGUUGUCCGGAUUUAUUGGGCGUAAAGCGAGCGCAGGUGGUUUCUUAAGUCUGAUGUAAAAGGCAGUGGCUCAACCAUUGUGUGCAUUGGAAACUGGGAGACUUGAGUGCAGGAGAGGAGAGUGGAAUUCCAUGUGUAGCGGUGAAAUGCGUAGAUAUAUGGAGGAACACCGGAGGCGAAAGCGGCUCUCUGGCCUGUAACUGACACUGAGGCUCGAAAGCGUGGGGAGCAAACAGGAUUAGAUACCCUGGUAGUCCACGCCGUAAACGAUGAGUGCUAGC
rnacentral:rRNA from 1 species